GUCUCUGUGGCAUUUGCAGAACUGCAACGAAAUGGUCUCCUGCUCUCUUGCCCUCGAACUGAAUACAUAGUAGUCCUCAAUGUGUUGUCUCGGCUCUCGAUCAAUUACUCAUACAGCUUUCUUCUAGCUGUUGCAGAACUCGGUGGUGAAGAUCGGGCCGUUUGGCUUCGAGGCCGAGGUUCGCCACGACAUCACCGAUCGUAGCGCCGGUGAGCCUGGAGAGCAUCACCAUCGGCCAUGGAGAUCUGCUCGACGCGCUCGCCUUCACCUACAAGGACUCCCACGGGCAGCAGCACACCACAACCAAAUGGGGUGGCGACGGUGGCAACGCCACCACGAUUACCCUUGGCCCUGACGAGGUUGUGAAGAGAGUUCACGGGAUCCACGGCAUCGCCAACGGGAUGGUCUGCAUCACCAACUUCACCAUCGUCACCAACCUCCAGAAAUACGCGGACCGUUUGGAGUCAGUGGCUCCGUCAUCGAACCCAAGUCGUCCUUCGACAUCCCCAUAUAUAUCACGGACAACAGCAGCAUCGUCGGCUUCUUCGCCUACCAGUACAAGGCCUACCUCACAGCCAUCGGUGUCUACAUGAAGCCCGGUGCUUAAUUAGCAAAAUCGAUCAUGAACCAGCUGGUUAAUUUGGGCGUUCAGCUUUUGUGUGUUUGCUUAUUAAAAUAAAUUGGGAUCUGAUGUCAUCCCAGCCCGUAUGCUUAUCGGUCUCUGCAUCAUCUGUAGGUUUCUUUGUUCGAAUAAACAUUUUAUUUUCAAGCACU